GGACCGCCGUCCGAAGGCUCCGGGCUGCGGACCGCCGUCCGAAGGCUCCGGGCUGCGGACCGCCGUCCGAAGGCUCCGGGCUGCGGACCGCCGCCCGAAGGCUCCGGGCUGCGGACCGCCGCCGAAGGCUCCGGGCUGCGGACCGCCGCCGAAGGCUCCGGGCUGGGGAGCGUUGCCGGAGGCUCCGGGCUGGGGAGUGUCGCCGGAGGCUGGGGAACGGGCUGGGGAAUGUCGCCGGAGGCUCCGGGCUGGGGAGCGUCGCCGGAGGCUCCGGACUGGAGAGUGUCGCUGGAGGUUCCGGGCUGAGAUCCGUCUCAAUAGGUUCCGGACUGUAGGCCGUCUCAGUAGGUUCCGGACUGUAGACCGUCUCAGUAGGUUCCGGACUGUAGGCCGUCUCAGUAGGUUCCGGACUAAAAAACGUCACCGGAAGCUCUGGACGGGGAACUGUCGCCGGAAGCUCUGGACGGGGAACUGUCGCCGGAAGCUCUGGACGGGGAACUGUCGCCGGAAGCUCUGGACGGGGAACUGUCGCCGGAAGCUCUGGAUGGGGAACUGUCGCCGGAAGCUCUGGACUGGAAAUGUGCACUGGAAUCCUGAUGCAUGGUACUGGCAUGGGUGGCGCCAGACUGGUAACCCCCCACCUCAGGACAAGUGCAGGGAGCAGGAACAGGACACUCCGGACUGGGCAUGCGCACUGGAGGUCUGAUGCGGGGAACUGGCCUAGGUGGCGCCAGAUUGGUAACACGCACCUCAGGGCGAGUUCGGGAAGGAAGCACAGGGUGUACCGGACUAUGGAGGCGAACUGGAGACCUGAACAUAGAAAUACAAAACAUAGACAAACACCCCCGUCACGCCCUGACCUACUCUACCAUAGAAAAUAACAACUUACUAUGGUCAGGACGUGACACAUACCAUGCGAAUACACUACCAAGCAAUGCAAGCAGAUGUGGAAUUAACCCCAAAACAGCUGUGUGUCUUUUUGGAUCAAGAAUUGAUCCAGAAUACCAGUAGGCAUGAUCAGAUCCUCUUUCCUAUUCAGGCAUCAUAUAAUGCACAGCCACAUGCAUUGAAAACCUUAACAUGACAAUGUCAUUAUUUUUGUCACCAUCCAUCAAUGGUUGAAUUGCAUUAUGUUUCUUUGUACAAUGUCUAAGACACUGCAUCUCAGUGCAAGAGGUGGUCACUGCAGUACCUGGUGCGAAUCCAGGCUGCAUCACAUCCGGCCACGAUUGGGAGUCCCAUAGGGUGGCGCACAAUUGGCCCAACAUCGUCCGGGUUUGGCCGGGGUAGACCGUCAUUGUAAAUAAGAAUUUGUUCUUAACUGACUUGCCUAGUUAAAUAAAGGUUACACAUGCACUGAGCUUCCAUUGGCUGGAGGCAUUCAACACGCUAAAUGAAAAAUACCCAAAUAAAACGUAUGUGAAUUAUUAUUAUUUUUUUUAAAUGUUACAACAACCAGAUCUUCCUAACAUUUGCCAUCACUAAGUAAGCCUUACAUCCUGACUCUAUAUGGGCUACCAAAUAUAAACCUGGGCACUCAUGGGAGGGGUGGGACCACAUGCACUUCUAAGUAAUCAAGGCAAGAACAUUAUUGCUAUAUUGUAAUUAAAAUCAUUGACCCAUAAGAGAACACAUGACCAAAGCAAGGCAAGACCCAUAUAGAAUUAAAACAACAUUAUUCUUAAUGAGAAAUAUAAUCUAAUAAACAAAUGUUUGCAUAACCAAAGACAUAAAAACCAGCUCUAACAUUGUAUUUAGCGACCUAUAAAACGUUCAUAUUGGCAGUAAGGUCAUUGAGAAUAACAAUAGACAAUAGUUAUUGUUGGUAGUUUAGGGAUAAAUAUAUUGAAGGUUCAUGAAUGUUAAAGAUUUGUUCACUGUGGGGAUUUUGAAAGAGGUGGAUUAGAACCUCAAAGUAAUAGUGGUAAGAAAGAUCAUAAAUGUAGUUUCAGAUUCAGGUUUAGGGGGGUAAUAACUUUAUGGAAACCACUAUUCACACUAUGUGGAUUAUAAACAUGUACAGACAUAGGGAACUAUCACAUCAAGAAGGUGUAACAGUGAUGAAUGGCUAUUCAAUGUACAACAGUAGUCAUCUGUAGCAAGCAAUAGUUAUUAAAUAUGUUUACAUACAUCCAUGACUGAAUGGUUUCAUGAACUCAUUUAAAGGUUUUGUAAGUAAAUUGUAACAGUCCUCAUUCAGCAGUCUGAAUUAACCUAGAGUCACCAAAACAUCAAUGCUUAGAGAAGCUUGGAGAUUAUUCCACAAGUAAGGUGCAAAGAGCUGAUUUUCCUAACUCUGUACAGACCAAAGGAAUUUCCAGAGCUAGCAAUCCCUGAGACGGUGUAUGAUAACUCCGACUCGUACGUUUAAUGGUUAUUGUAGAAGUUAGUUACAGAGGGAGUUUACAGUAUGUCAAAGAGCUUUAUAAAGGCAAAGAGAGCAAUUCAUUGACCUACGUAACUAACUCAUCAAUAUGUUUUUUUUAAAGACAGCUGAACGUCUAUACAAAUACACCAUACUAGGUACACACACUUCAAUCAUUAGAAUCAUGUUUGUGCACUCUAGAAAACAACAUAUACUUCGUUUUACACAUUUUCAAUAAUAAUUUAAGGUCAAUAAAGGUUUUCUGCAAAAUAAUGAAAGCAUACUGUAGUUCAGAUAGAGCCUGAUCAGCAGGGUAGGCGAUAGAGUACACAACUGUAUCGUCUGUAUACAGGUGCAGGUUAAACAUUAUUAUUAUAUUUAUAUUUUUUGGACAAAACAAUAUUUCUAAUGUAUACAAUAUCGUUUUUUAUUUGACAUUCUGACAUAUAGCACAAUACCUGUCACGUCCUGACCAGUAAAAGGGGUUGUUUGUUAUUGUAGUGUGGUCAGGGCGUGGCAGGGGGUGUUUGUUUAGUGUGUUUCGGGGUUUUGGUUUAUGUUCUAUGUUUUCUAUUUCAAUGUGGGUUUUCUAGUUUUUCUAUAUCUAUGUUAGUUUUGGGAACGACCUCCAAUUAGAGACAGCUGGUUGUUGUUGCUUCUAAUUGGAGGCCAUAUUUAAGUGGGUUUAUUUUCUCUUGUGUUUGUGGGUGGUUGUUUCCGUGUAUAGUCUGAGCACCUUACAGGACUGUUUUCGUCGUUUGUUUUGUGUAAGUGGUUUGUUUGGUUUUUCUUCAAUAAAAGGAAGAUGAGCAUUCACAUACCCGCUGCGUUUUGGUCCACUCCAUACGACGAAUAUGACAAUACCUAGGUACUAAAAAAUGCAUAUGCAACAUUUGAACAGAAAUUUCCCCCUUGUGUUAUGAUGUAUAAGAUACAUUGGCUAUUUUAGUCAUCCUUUUUUUAUUAUUUACAUGUUUAUAAUCCAAAAGUGUGUUUUUAGAGGGGUGGGAAAUAUUGUUUAUGUUGUCAUGGAAAUUAUUCUAACCAAAGGAGAGAGACUUUUAGAUUUCUUCAAAACAACUGACCUUUAUUAGUUAAUUACUGCAGUAAUGGAGCCGUCGACAACCACCCCAGGAGGUGACCGUUGAGAAAAACAACGAGCAGAGUUGGGUUACAACCUUCAUAGACUAAGCACAUCCUUCUGAGCACGUGACACACAACAGAUGUGUAGAAUUUGUCAAAGGUGAGGUUUUGUAUGUGAGAAAGAAAUAACACCCCAGCCAGAUAAAAUUUGCUAUGAAGAUUGUUCUAAUUGUAUAGAAAUCAGGGUUUGGCCCCAAAGACAAGGUUCCACCCAUCAACUGUCCACACGAGACAUCUAAUCCCUGGUACCUCACAGAAACACCAACUCAUUCUAUGGAAUGCAGGCUGUAGGUUUUAUCACCGAGCCAUCAUAAAUCAAUUGCCAGCGCCAAGCCCCAGAGGCCCAACU
rnacentral:lncRNA from 1 species